ACAGAGGGAAAUAAGCAGAGGUCCAGAAACAGGGCUACCCACCAAUCGCGUGGUGACAGAGGAGAGAGGGUCCUAAGGACAGAUGAGGAUGUUCUUGAUUUUGUACUCCAAGUAAAUGUAUUUAAGAAUGGUUACCCCAACCUCUGAGAAAUCUGAAAGUGGCAGCUGGAAAUGCCAGGAGAACACAUGGCAACACUGAAUUGACAGAGUUCAAACACCAAAGGGGCAUUUGAGAACUGGAGCUGCCCGAUGGCAAGAGGGCACUUGUAUCAGAAGCUUCACUGCACAGGCCUACAAUAAAUGGUGCCUUGACAUCAAA
ensembl:lncRNA novel transcript